rnacentral:rRNA from 1 species
AGUCUGGUGCCAGCAGCCGCGGUAAUUCCAGCUCCAAUAGCGUAUCUUCAUGUUGCUGCAGCUAAAACGCUCGUAGUCAAACCUUAGGGCAUUGAUUUUUGGUCGUUUCUUAUGAAAUUGUACUUUAGAUCGUGCCCUCAGUUCCAACUUGUUUUGGUUCUUUAUUGAGCCUUUGCGAUUUGGAAACGUUACUUCGAGAAAAUUAGAGUGUUCAAAGCAGGCUUUACGCCUUGAAUAAAUUAGCAUGGCACAAUAAAAUAGGACUUGGUUUCUAUUUUGUUGGUUUCUAGGAAUUAAGUAAUGAUUAAUAGGGGCGGUCGGGGGCGUUAAUAUUAAGCUGUCAGAGGUGAAAUUCUUGGAUUUGCUUAAGAUUAACUACUGCGAAAGCAUUCGCCAAGGACGCUUUCAUUGAUCAAGAACGAAAGUUUGGGGAUCGAAGAGGAUUAGAGACCCUCGUAGUCCAGACUGUAAAUGAUGCCAACUAGAGAUUGGUGGGUGUUUUUUGACCCCAUCAGCAUCUUCCGAGAAAUCAAAGUUUUUGGGUUCUGGGGGAAGUAUGGUCGCAAGACUUAAACUUAAAGAAAUUGACGGAAGGGCACCACCAGGUGUGGAGCCUGCGGCUUAAUUUGACUCAACACGGGAAAACUUACCAGGUCCAGACAUAGCAAGGAUUGACAGAUUGAGAGCUCUUUCUUGAUUCUAUGGGUGGUGGUGCAUGGCCGUUCUUAGUUGGUGGAGUGAUUUGUCUGCUUGAUUGCGAUAACGAACGAGACCUUAACCUGCUAAAUAGUGUGUUGGCACCUAGGUGCCAAUGCUCACUUCUUAACGGGACUGUGAAAGAAAAUUUCACGGAAGCAUGAGGCAAUAACAGGUCUGUGAUGCCCUUCGAUGUUCUGGGCCGCACGCGCGCUACACUGACACAGUCAACGAGUUUGUCCUUGGUCGAAAGGCUUGGGUAAUCUUUUCAAACUGUGUCGUGCUGGGGCUUGACAAUUGCAAUUAUUUGUCAUAAACGAGGAAUACCUAGUAAGCGCGAGUCAUCAGCUCGCGUUGAUUACGUCCCUGCCCUUUGUACACACCGCCCGUCGCUCCUACCGAUUGGAUGAUCCGGUGAAAUCUCCGGACUGUUGAGUAGAUGUCAUUUCGGUGACGACUACACAGCGGGAAGCUGAUUAAACCUUAUCAUCU